GUAGGGAAUAUUGCGCAAUGGGGGAAACCCUGACGCAGCGACGCCGCGUGAGUGAUGAAGGCCUUCGGGUCGUAAAGCUCUGUUGCAGGGGAAUAAAAAAAUGAAGGUACCCUGUGAGGAAGGAUCGGCUAACUUCGUGCCAGCAGCCGCGGUAAGACGAGGGAUCCUAGCGUUGCUCGGAAUCAUUGGGCGUAAAGAGGGCGUAGGUGGCUUGGUAAGUCAGGUGUGAAAGCCCAGGGCUCAACCCUGGAAGUGCAUUUGAUACUGCUGAGCUUGAGUGUCGGAGAGGUUACCGGAAUACCUGGUGUAGUGGUGAAAUACGUAGAUAUCAGGUGGAACACCGGAGGCGAAGGCGGGUAACUGGACGAACACUGACACUGAGGCCCGAAAGCGUGGGGAUCAAACAGGAUUAGAAACCCGGUAGUCC
rnacentral:rRNA from 1 species